rnacentral:rRNA from 1 species
UGGGGAAUAUUGCACAAUGGGCGCAAGCCUGAUGCAGCCAUGCCGCGUGUGUGAAGAAGGCCUUCGGGUUGUAAAGCACUUUCAGCGAGGAGGAAGGUGGUGAGCUUAAUAUGCUCAUCAAUUGACGUUACUCGCAGAAGAAGCACCGGCUAACUCCGUGCCAGCAGCCGCGGUAAUACGGAGGGUGCAAGCGUUAAUCGGAAUUACUGGGCGUAAAGCGCACGCAGGCGGUUUGUUAAGUCAGAUGUGAAAUCCCCGGGCUCAACCUGGGAACUGCAUUUGAAACUGGCAAGCUAGAGUCUCGUAGAGGGGGGUAGAAUUCCAGGUGUAGCGGUGAAAUGCGUAGAGAUCUGGAGGAAUACCGGUGGCGAAGGCGGCCCCCUGGACGAAGACUGACGCUCAGGUGCGAAAGCGUGGGGCAGCAAACAGGAUUAGAUACCCUGGUAGUCCACGCUGUAAACGAUGUCGAUUUUGGAGGUUGUGCCCCUUGAGGCGUGGCUUCCGGAGCUAACGCGUUAAAUCGACCGCCUGGGGAGUACGGCCGCAAGGUUAAAACUCAAAGGAAUUGACGGGGUCUAGCUG